rnacentral:rRNA from 1 species
GACAAMCCUACAUGGAUAACUGUGGUAAUUCUAGAGCUAAUACAUGCACCAAAGCUCUGACCGCAAGGAAAGAGCGCAUUUAUUAGAUCAAAACCAUACGACUUCGGUCGUCCACUGUUGAGCCAGAAUAACUCAGCUGAUCGCAUGCUCUUGUAGCGGCGACGUGUCUUUCAAGUAUCUGCUUUAUCAACUUUCGAUGGUAGGGUAUCUGCCUACCAUGGUGGUGACGGAUAACGGAGGAUAAGGGUUCGACUCCGGAGAAGGGGCCUGAGAAAUGGCCACUACGUCUAAGGAUGGCAGCAGGCGCGCAAAUUACCCACUCUCAGAAUUCGGAGGAGGUAGUGACGAGAAAUAACGAGACUGUUCUCACAUGAGGCCAGUCAUCGGAAUGGGUACAAUUUAAACCCUUUAACGAGUAUCUAUGAGAGGGCAAGUCUGGUGCCAGCAGCCGCGGUAAUUCCAGCUCUCAAAAUGCAUAGAAUUAUUGCUGCGGUUAAAAAGCUCGUAGUUGGAUCUGUGCUGGAGGGGCGGUCCAUCUUCGGAUGUGUACUGYUUUUUUCUCCGGCUUUUCUGCAGUGUUCGGCUCUGUGUCCUUMACGGGAUGCAGUUGUUCGGUGCUGCAAGUUUACUUUGAAUAAAUCAGAGUGCUCUAAACAGGCGUUUCGCUUGAAUGAUUGUGCAUGGAAUAAUAGAAGAGGAUUUCGGUUCUAUUUUAUUGGUUUUAUAGACUGAGAUAAUGGUUAACAGAGACAAACGGGGGCAUUCG